ensembl:lncRNA
UUGAUAAUGUCUGACCCUGUCUAAAGACCCCAGCUCUCUGUGGGUGUUGAUAAUGUCUGACCCUGUCUAAAGACCCCAGCUCUCUGUGGGUGUUGAUAAUGUCUGACCCUGUCUAAAGCCCCAGCUCUCUGUGGGUGUUGAUAAUGUCUGACCCUGUCUAAAGACCCCAGCUCUCUGUGGGUGUUGAUAAUGUCUGACCCUGUCUAAAGACCCCAGCUCUCUGUGGGUGUGGAUAAUGUCUGGUCUGACCCUGUCUAAAGACCCCAGCUCUCUGUGGGUGUUGAUAAUGUCUGACCCUGUCUAAAGACCCCAGCUCUCUGUGGGUGUUGGGAUAUGUGUGAAACACCUGGACAAGUGUGAAACAGGACAAAUAACAGCAGCUACUAUAGUCACCAUCUAGUGAGUCUGACCUGAAAUAACCCCUGAACAUCUCAUGACUGUUUUAAUCAUGGCAGUUAUCUACAGUUUCUCUUUCCCUGUUUGGAAACAUGCAGAACCAGAUCAUCAUCGUCCCAUUGGAUAAUAAUGGACAUGUGGUAACAUGCAGAACUAGUUCAUCAUCGUUCCAUUGGAUAAUAAUGGACAUGUGGUAACAUGCAGAACUAGUUCAUCAUCGUCCCAUUGGAUAAUAAUGGACAUGUGGUAACAUGCAGAACUAGUUCAUCAUCGUUCCAUUGGAUAAUAAUGGACAUGUGGUAACAUGCAGAACUAGUUCAUCAUCGUUCCAUUGGAUAAUAAUGGACAUGUGGUAACAUGCAGAACUAGUUCAUCAUCGUUCCAUUGGAUAAUAAUGGACAUGUGGUAACAUGCAGAACUAGUUCAUCAUCGUCCCAUUGGACAACAAAGGACAUGUUGUAAAAAUAUAAGAUAUUUAUCUAAAGAGACAUCGGCACAUGUAGCAUGAGUCACAAAUGGCACCAUAUUCCGUUAAUCGUGCACUACUUUCUACCAGGCCCCUAGUGCACUACUUUCUACCAGGACCCUAGUGCACUACUUUCUACCAGGACCCUAGUGCACUACUUUCUACCAGGACCCUAGUGCACUACUUUCUACCAGGACCCUAGUGCACUACUUUCUACCAGGACCCUAGUGCACUAAUUUCUACCAGGCCCCUAGUGCACUACUUUAACCAGGACCCUAGUGCACUACUUUCUACCAGGCCCCUAGUGCACUACUUUAACCAGGACCCUAGUGCACUACUUUCUACCAGGCCCCUAGUGCACUACUUUAACCAGGACCCUAGUGCACUACUUUCUACCAGGCCCCUAGUGCACUACUUUAACCAGGCCCCUAGUGCACUACUUUCUACCAGGCCCCUAGUGCACUACUUUAACCAGGGCCCUAGUGCACUACUUUCUACCAGGACCCUAGUGCACUACUUUCUACCAGGACCCUAGUGCACUACUUUCUACCAGGACCCUAGUGCACUACUUUCUACCAGGACCCUAGUGCACUACUUUCUACCAGGACCCUAGUGCACUACUUUCUACCAGGACCCUAGUGCACUACUUUCUACCAGGCCCCUAGUGCACUACUUUAACCAGGACCCUUGUGCACUACUAAAUAUAAGAUAUUUAUAAGAUAUUUAUCUAAAGAGACAUCGGCACAUGUAGCAUGAGUCACAAAUGGCACCCUAC